rnacentral:rRNA from 1 species
UGGGGAAUUUUGCACAAUGGGCGCAAGCCUGAUGCAGCGACGCCGCGUGAGGGAUGAAGGCCUUCGGGUUGUAAACCUUUUUCGCUCAUGGUCAAGCCGCAGCUUUGGGUUGUGGUGAGGGUAGUGGGUAAAGAAGCGCCGGCUAACUACGUGCCAGCAGCCGCGGUAAUACGUAGGGCGCGAGCGUUGUCCGGAAUUAUUGGGCGUAAAGGGCUUGUAGGCGGUUGGCCGCGUCUGCCGUGAAAUCCUCUGGCUUAACUGGGGGCGUGCGGUGGGUACGGGUUGACUUGAGUGCGGUAGGGGGGACUGGAAUUCCUGGUGUAGCGGUGGAAUGCGCAGAUAUCAGGAGGAACACCGGUGGCGAAGGCGGGUCUCUGGUCUGUAACUGACGCUGAGGCUCGAAAGCGUGGGGAGCGAACAGG